AAUACAACCACUCAAGUUUUGACUAUUCAGAGUGGUUCCCAGUAACCAAGGCCUUGGAACCAUAAAGUUUAUCAGUCUUCCCAUUCUUUGCUAUGGAGGGGAAAGAGACAGGCUGCAUCCAGGGGGGUAAUCUCCUAAAGGAAUCAUCAUCUAUUUUCCUGGAAUGGGCAGUUCCAUCAAAGCAUGCAAGAAUGUGAAGGAUGAUCCUGGGCUGUUUCUCAGCAGAAGCAUCACAUGAAGGAAAGACCUUGCAAGAUGAUUGAGUAUAUAGGAAAUGGAAUGUUAAUUGAGAACUCUACAAUUCAGUUCCUAGGAAGUUGGGA